rnacentral:rRNA from 1 species
CCUACGGGAGGCAGCAGUGAGGAAUAUUGGUCAAUGGCCGGAAGGCUGAACCAGCCAAGUCGCGUGAGGGACGACUGCCCUAUGGGUUGUAAACCUCUUUUAUAAGGGAAGAAUAAAUGCUACGUGUAGCAUGAUGCCUGUACCUUAUGAAUAAGCAUCGGCUAACUCCGUGCCAGCAGCCGCGGUAAUACGGAGGAUGCGAGCGUUAUCCGGAUUUAUUGGGUUUAAAGGGUGCGCAGGCGGAUUUUUAAGUCAGCGGUCAAAUCGUGGGGCUCAACCCCAUCCAGCCGUUGAAACUGGGGAUCUAGAGUGUGCGAGAGGUAUGCGGAAUGCGUGGUGUAGCGGUGAAAUGCAUAGAUAUCACGCAGAACCCCGAUUGCGAAGGCAGCAUACCGGUGCACAACUGACGCUCAGGCACGAAAGCGUGGGUAUCGAACAGGAUUAGAUACCCUGGUAGUC